rnacentral:misc_RNA from 1 species
CUUGGUCAUUUAGAGGAAGUAAAAGUCGUAACAAGGUCUCCGUUGGUGAACCAGCGGAGGGAUCAUUACAGAGUUGCAAAACUCCCUAAACCAUUGUGAACAUACCUUCAACGCUGCUUCGGCGGGUUGGCUCCGGGUCUCCCGGGGCCCCCGGCCCUACUCGGGCGCCCGCCGGAGGUAUCUAACUCUUGACAAUUGUAUGGCCUCUCCGAGUCUUUGUACUUAAUAAGUCAAAACUUUCAACAACGGAUCUCUUGGUUCUGGCAUCGAUGAAGAACGCAGCGAAAUGCGAUAAGUAAUGUGAAUUGCAGAAUUCAGUGAACCAUCGAAUCUUUGAACGCACAUUGCGCCCGCCAGUAUUCUGGCGGGCAUGCCUGUUCGAGCGUCAUUUCAACCAUCAAGCCCCCGGCUUGUGUUGGGGACCUGCGGCUGCCGCAGGCCCUGAAAACCAGUGGCGGGCUCGCUAGUCACUCCGAGCGUAGUAAUACAUCUCGCUCAGGGCGUGCUGCGGGUUCCGGCCGUUAAAAAGCCUUAUUUACCCAAGGUUGACCUCGGAACAGGUAGGAAGACCCGCUGAACUUAAGCAUAUCAAUAAGCGGAGGA